UACGUAGGGUGCAAGCGUUGUCCGGAAUUAUUGGGCGUAAAGAGCUCGUAGGCGGUUUGUUGCGUCGGCUGUGAAAUCCCGAGGCUCAACCUCGGGUCUGCAGUCGAUACGAGCAAACUAGAGUGUUGCAGGGGAGACUGGAAUUCCUGGUGUAGCGGUGAAAUGCGCAGAUAUCAGGAGGAACACCGGUGGCGAAGGCGGGUCUCUGGGCAACAACUGACGCUGAGGAGCGAAAGCGUGGGGAGUGGACAGG
rnacentral:rRNA from 1 species